ensembl:lncRNA
AAAGAGCAGUGCCCACAAGGGACGGGGCUGCCUGGCCGAGAAAGGACUGCUCAGCACGUGAGCGAUAGGAGCCCGGAGACAGAACUACACGUACACAGACCCUCCUUAAGGAAGGCGGUCCUGGAAGGCUGCAAUGAGGUCACCCCUCAGCCUUCUUUUCUCCAGGCUGAACAAGCCCAGCUCCCUCAGCCUGUCUUUGUAGCCCUCUGAUCAUCUUUGUGGCCCUCCUCUGCACCCUCUCCACCAGCUCUCUCUCCUUUGUGUACUGGGGGCUCCAGGCCUGCGCACAGUACUCCAGAUGGGGCCUCCGGAGGGCAGAGUAGAGAGGGACAAUCAGCUCCCUGUCCCUGCUGGCCACCCCUUUUCUGCUGGAG